GCGGGGAUACCCGAGUCAGGUCAAAGGGGCAGGACCGCUAAGCCAUGAGCGCGCAAGCCUUCAGGGGUUCGAAUCCCCUUCCCCGCACCA
rnacentral:tRNA from 1 species